GAUGAACGCUGGCGGCGUGCCUAAUACAUGCAAGUCGAGCGAACAGAUAAGGAGCUUGCUCCUUUGACGUUAGCGGCGGACGGGUGAGUAACACGUGGGUAACCUACCUAUAAGACUGGAAUAACUCCGGGAAACCGGGGCUAAUGCCGGAUAACAUGUUGAACCGCAUGGUUCUACAGUGAAAGGCGGCUUUGCUGUCACUUAUAGAUGGACCCGCGCCGUAUUAGCUAGUUGGUGAGGUAACGGCUCACCAAGGCAACGAUACGUAGCCGACCUGAGAGGGUGAUCGGCCACACUGGAACUGAGACACGGUCCAGACUCCUACGGGAGGCAGCAGUAGGGAAUCUUCCGCAAUGGGCGGAAGCCUGACGGAGCAACGCCGCGUGAGUGAUGAAGGUCUUCGGAUCGUAAAACUCUGUUAUUAGGGAAGAACAAAUGCGUAAGUAACUGUGCGCGUCUUGACGGUACCUAAUCAGAAAGCCACGGCUAACUACGUG
rnacentral:rRNA from 1 species